UCAGGACGAACGCNGGCGGCGUGCUUAACACAUGCAAGUUGAACGGGCAGAUAUGGAAGCUUGCUGAAGUAUCUGUUAGUAGCGGACGGGUGAGUAAUGCAUGAGGAGCUGUCAUAGGGAGGGGGACAACAGUUGGAAACGGCUGCUAAUACCCCGUAUGCCGGAAGGUGAAAGGGAGCGAUCCGCCCGAUGAGGUACUCAUGUCCUAUCAGCUGGUUGGUGGGGUAACGGCCUACCAAGGCGACGACGGGUAGCCGGCCUGAGAGGGUGAACGGCCACACUGGAACUGAGAUACGGUCCAGACUCCUACGGGAGGCAGCAGUGGGGAAUAUUGGGCAAUGGGGGGAACCCUGACCCAGCGACGCCGCGUGAGGGAAGACGGCCUUCGGGUUGUAAACCUCUUUUGUACGGGAAGAAGGAAGUGACGGUACUGUACGAAUAAGUCCCGGCUAACUACGUGCCAGCAGCCGCGGUAAUACGUAGGGGACGAGCGUUGUCCGGAAUUACUGGGCGUAAAGGGCGCGUAGGCUGUGCUGCAAGUCAGCUGUGAAAUAUCUGGGCUUAACCUGGAUAUGCGGAUGAGACUGCAGUGCUGGAGUGCUGUAGAGGCAAGUGGAAUUCCCAGUGUAGCGGUGAAAUGCGUAGAUAUUGGGAAGAACACCGGUGGCGAAGGCGACUUGCUGGGCAGCAACUGACGCUGAGGCGCGAAAGCCAGGGGAGCGAACGGGAUUAGAUACCCCGGUAGUCCUGGCCGUAAACGAUGAAUGCUAGGUGUGGGUGUAGAGAUACAUUCGUGCCGGANUUAACGCGAUAAGCAUUCCGCCUGGGGAGUACGGUCGCAAGAUUGAACUC
rnacentral:rRNA from 1 species